UACGUAGGGGGCAAGCGUUGUCCGGAAUUAUUGGGCGUAAAGAGCGCGUAGGCGGUCCGAUAAGUCGGCUGUGAAAGUCCAGGGCUCAACCCUGGAAAGCCGGCCGAUACUGUCGGACUAGAGUCCGGAAGAGGCGAGUGGAAUUCCCGGUGUAGCGGUGAAAUGCGCAGAUAUCGGGAGGAACACCAAUGGCGAAGGCAGCUCGCUGGGACGAUACUGACGCUGAGACGCGAAAGCGUGGGGAGCGAACAGG
rnacentral:rRNA from 1 species